UACGGAGGAGGCAAGCGUUAUCCGGAAUUAUUGGGCGUAAAGCGCGUGUAGGCGGCUUUGCAAGUCGGGUGUGAAAGCCCUCAGCUCAACUGAGGAAGUGCGCCCGAAACUGCAGAGCUUGAGUACCGGAGAGGAUGGCGGAAUUCCCCAAGUAGAGGUGAAAUUCGUAGAUAUGGGGAGGAACACCGGUGGCGAAGGCGGCCAUCUGGACGGAUACUGACGCUGAGACGCGAAAGCGUGGGUAGCAAACAGG
rnacentral:rRNA from 1 species